CACCAGCCCCUCGAGUGGUGGGGAUGAUUAUUUGGCCUAAAGCGUCCGUAGCCGGCCGGAUAAGUUUCCCGUUAAAUCCAACGUCUCAAGCGUUGGACUGCGGGAAAUACUGUCUGGCUAGAGAGUGGGAGAGGUUAGCGGUAUUCUGGGGGUAGGGGCGAAAUCCUUUGAUCCCCGGAGGACCACCAGUGGCGAAGGCUGCUAACUAGAACACGUCUGACGGUCAGGGACGAAAGCUGGGGUAGCGAACCGGAUUAGAUACCCGGGUAGUCCCAGCCGUAAACGAUGCAUGCUAGGUGUUGGGUUGGCCACGAGCCACCCCAGUGCCGCAGGGGAGCCGUUAAGCAUGCCGCCUGGGAAGUACGAUCGCAAGAUUGAAACUUAAAGGAAUUGGCGGGGGAGCACCACCAGGUGUGAAGCUUGCGGUUU
rnacentral:rRNA from 1 species